rnacentral:tRNA from 1 species
CACCGCGUAGUGUAGUGGUUAGCACGCUCGACUCUCACUCGAGAGGCUCCGGGUUCGAAUCCUGGAGGCGGCGA